rnacentral:rRNA from 1 species
CCUACGGGAGGCAGCAGUGAGGAAUAUUGGUCAAUGGGCGGGAGCCUGAACCAGCCAAGCCGCGUGAGGGAAGAAGGUACAGCGUAUCGUAAACCUCUUUUGUCAGGGAACAAAGGCGGGGACUAGUCCCCGGAUGCGGGUACCUGAAGAAAAAGCAUCGGCUAACUCCGUGCCAGCAGCCGCGGUAAUACGGAGGAUGCGAGCGUUAUCCGGAUUUAUUGGGUUUAAAGGGUGCGCAGGCGGCCUGUUAAGUCAGCGGUAAAAGCCCGGGGCUCAACCCCGGCGAGCCGUUGAAACUGGCGGGCUGGAGUUGGAGAGAAGUACGCGGAAUGCGCGGGGUAGCGGUGGAAUGCUUAGGUAUCGCGCAGAACCCCGAUUGCGAAGGCAGCGUACCGGCUCCACACUGACGCUGAGGCACGAAAGCGUGGGUAUCGAACAGGAUUAGAUACCCGGGUAGUC